GAAGGUAUAGCUCAGUGGUAUAGUGCGUGCUUAGAAUGCAUGAGGUCCUGGGUUUAAUUCCCAGUACCUCCA
rfam:Camelus ferus unplaced genomic scaffold scaffold898, whole genome shotgun sequence.